CAGUGUUGUAGUGAUGAGGGUGGGUGUCUCAGCCCAGUGGGUUAAUAAAGCCCUUUUGUUUACUGUUACGGUAUUAAGUGCAGGACUUUGAAAAGUGCUCUGCUCCCUUUGCCCAGCCAUUUUCAAGGAUUUUGUAAGUAUCCUGCUAGAGGUGAGUUUUAAGGCAAGAUCUGAAGGAUGACUAUGUAGUGACUUUGCAGACUUUUAUAGGGAGUUCCUCCAAUGCAUAAGGGGCAGCAGGGGAAUAAGCACAGAUGUGUUUGAGGUAACAUGGAAAUGAUAGCCUGUAAAGGCUGUCAUCUGUAAUAACUUAAUACCAUGAAGGGCCUAAAUAGCAGAGAUAAGAAGAUUGUGUUGGAUGAGAAAAAGUGGGGCAAGUGGUUGUAUGAAAAAGGUGACAAGGGGUGACAUGAUUGGAGUGAUCAAGACAGGAAGAUGACUUUGGCAAUUGCUUUUUGAAUGAACUUAAGGAGGACAAGAUGCCAUUCUGAUUUGGUGGUGCUAUACACACACUUUGUGUAGGUGUAAAUGACUGCAUGAGAGUCAAGGCUGCGGAGAAUCAGGCCUGUUGUCUGUUGGAGUUCCUACUUUUCCCCAAAAUGAAGCAAGCUGCUAGAACAGCACAGUUUUAAUGGAGUCCCUUCUCUUCAGUUGAAAGCUUUUCUAUUAGGAUGUAAUUAAACACCAAAACAGAAACUUGCAUACCCUGUGAGUAAUAAGCCAGUGAGUUAAAAUCCCAGCCCAACCACACAAGAUUGCUUCCUUACUCACAAUAGUCCCUGAUUUCCCUUCCCUUCUAAAUUCUCCAGAGCAGUGGGCAGGUCCCUUCCCUAGUGGGCAGGGCCUAGCCUCACCAGCAGACUGAACUCCAAUGCUCAGUCUCUGCUUUUUGUGAACAAGUACCAGGGGAUUCCCCUAUCCUUGCACUAUGUGGGAUUUACCUGUAAUAAUGGACAUCCUCUCUCUAUGAACAGGGACCUAGUGGAGGGAUGAGGCUUCCAUGUCAUCACAAACACCACCCCAGGAGCAUGGUGAUUCCCUUGGUGUCUGUCUAAAAAAGGUACUUCUGUAUCCUUCGUACCUGGGACUGGGAUUAAACUAUCAGUUGGACAUGCUUUGCAAAGCAUCAGUGUAAACCGGUGAAUAGAAACCUGGCUGUUUUCUAAUCCAGAUUGAUGCCUUUGCCCAAAUGGACUACUCCCUAGUUAACUGUUCAGCAUUCUUCAGAUCAUACGUUGAUUUGGACUUAAAGCUCUCCACUAACUUUAAUCUAACUACAGCGACAUUUGGCAGUAUCAUUCCUGAGAUAGUGAAUACCAGUGUUAUUCUGACAUAUUUGAACAGAAGCUGAUUAGCUCAUUACAUCUGAAGCGGUAACACAGAACAGCUUGAUAUGAGACCAUAAAAGAAGGCUCAGGAAGCAACAUCAGUGAUCCCAGCAGUCGGACAUAGCAGGACUUUAUUGCAUCCACCUAGCUGUGCAGUUAGUCCAGCCUAUUGGACUUCUUGCUAAGAUGUUAGGAUCCUGAGCUCUGUAGUGAUAACUGGGGUCUGGUCGGCCUUCUCCUGUUGUGAGCCUAACACUGGGAAAGUGGGUAAACGUUUAUAAAGUGUCACAAUAACUUAUAAUAAAGAAUGUUGAUGGGGAAAAGGCACAAAGGGGAGACAGACAGGUCUUUUUGUUUACACUAUUGAUAUGAUUCAAGGACUGUUAAGAUCAUGCCUUUUAAACAAGAGAGGUUUGGGACUGGAAGUCAAUGGACCAAAAUGGGUGUGUCAGAAAUUAGAUCUAAUCGGUGAAUGUAAUAAUGGGAUGGGCUAUUCCACCCAUCUCUUCCUUUUGAGGUCCUUAAAAAGAGACACUUUGGGGAAGAAAACUUGCUACCAUGACAAUGGCUGACUGAAAGGCAAGAGAACAGAAAGGAGAGAGCUUCACCAUCAUGGCUGCCACUGUCUUCUGGGACCCAGGGAUCCACCGUAACACCGUUGGACCUUCUUCACCCUAAUCCUAAUAGAUGUCUUGACCAGAGUGGGCUAGAGAGAGGGAACCAGACGACAUCACCACCUCUACCAGCUGUACUUAAGUUCUGAACACCAUCUAGGAUAUGAGACUUUGUCCUCCCCACCUUAUUUCUUCUCUUUCCUGUCUCUCUCCUUCUGCCUUUGGUUUAGUAAGAGUCUGGGUUAGUGAGCCAAGAUUGUAUAUUUUGCAACACUGCUGUAAGCCUGUGGCUAAAGAGGCAAUUAAAACCAAUGCCCUAAACAGCCUGACACUGGUAUGAGUCUGCCAGGUCUCAGAGUAGCUGAUGA